GCCGCCGGCUCCGCGGCAGUGCUGCAGAGGCGGCAGAAGGGACGGCGAGGGCGGAGUGGACGGUAGCGGCGAAAGUCACCACAACGCCCCUGCGCGGAGGAAGUGGGCCAGAGAAUAGCAUACACCUGCAGCACCUUUGGGACUAAUGACACAAAGGUCAAGGCCAGCCUGUCGACCAUGCUUGCCAAGGGAACGGAUUCCCGGCGCCUCCGCAGGUGGGUCUAGGUAAG